GAAGAACGCGAUAUUGACCUUUGGUGGUAAGUCCGUUCCUUUCUUCUUCGUGACCAAAGUCGUUUCCUCCGUCGGCCACGGCGUACUGGAAAUUGUAAUUGGCGGAACCAGACCCCUGAAAUUAACGAGUGGUGUGAGCCAAAACGUCAAGUAAUUUUCUGGCAUUCAGACAACCAUGGGCCAUAGCUGUAAAAGGCAUCACCAACCAAAUGUCAAAAGUCGAACUUACAUAUCCCUCAUUGUCAUCUUUUUUAGCACUUCGGGUGCUCCUUGAUUCUUCGUAAGCCUCGCAGUCAACAUCCGAGAUCAGCCCGAAUAAGCUCCCGAUGACCAAGAUAAGGCAGACCUGAAAUUAAUGAAAAGCUUCCAACUUCAGAUUGAAAAAAGAUUUUCUGGAUUGCAUCCCUUUCAAGACCAAAUUGAAUUUCUUGUAUGCAAUGUCGGAAUAUCCCAUUUUUAAACGGACUACGACUGGCUAUACCAAACACAUAAGUAGUGGGAUAUAUUUAGUAUUGUCCAUGUAUUAGUAAGUGGCGGCCUGUGAUAACCCUUAACCCUAUUAUGCAUUAUAGAUUAAAAGUAUUUUAAAGUUUA